UACGUAGGGUGCGAGCGUUAAUCGGAAUUACUGGGCGUAAAGAGUGCGUAGGCGGUCCCGCAAGUCCGCUGUGAAAGCCCGGGCUUAACCUGGGAAUGGCAGUGGAAACUAUGGGACUUGAAUCUGGCAGAGGGGGGUGGAAUGCCACGUGUAGCAGUGAAAUGCGUAGAGAUGUGGCGGAACACCGAUGGCGAAGGCAGCCCCCUGGGCUGAGAUUGGCGCUCAGGCACGAAAGCGUGGGGAGCAAACAGG
rnacentral:rRNA from 1 species